CAGCAGACACAUUCCAGCCAAUCAGCAGCAGACCCUCCCUCCCAGACCCUCCCACCUCCUGGACAGCAUCCAUUUUACAUUCAUUGUGAAGCUGCAUUCUUAGUGAGCUGUCCAGGAGGUGGGAGGGUCUGGGAGGGAGGGUCUGCUGAUGAUUGGCUGGAAUGUGUCUGCUG
rnacentral:miRNA from 1 species